GGGGGAUAUUGCACAAUGGGGGAAACCCUGAUGCAGCGACGCCGCGUGAGGGAAGACGGUUUUCGGAUUGUAAACCUCUGUCUUCAGGGACGAAACAAAUGACGGUACCUGAGGAGGAAGCCACGGCUAACUACGUGCCAGCAGCCGCGGUAAUACGUAGGUGGCAAGCGUUGUCCGGAAUUACUGGGUGUAAAGGGAGCGUAGGCGGGAAUGCAAGUUGAAUGUUUAAACUAUCGGCUCAACUGAUAAUCGCGUUCAAAACUGCAUUUCUUGAGUGGAGUAGAGGCAGGCGGAAUUCCUAGUGUAGCGGUGAAAUGCGUAGAUAUUAGGAGGAACACCAGUGGCGAAGGCGGCCUGCUGGGCUCUAACUGACGCUGAGGCUCGAAAGCGUGGGUAGCAAAC
rnacentral:rRNA from 1 species